UACGGGGGGAGCAAGCGUUGUUCGGAUUUACUGGGCGUAAAGGGCGCGUAGGCGGGCGAUCAAGUCGGUGGUGAAAUCCUACAGCUUAACUGUAGAACUGCCUCCGAUACUGGUUGUCUCGAGGAAGGUAGGGGCGUGCGGAACAGUUGGUGGAGCGGUGAAAUGCGUUGAUAUCAACUGGAACUCCGGUGGCGAAGGCGGCACGCUGGACCUUUUCUGACGCUGAGGCGCGAAAGCCAGGGGAGCAAACGGG
rnacentral:rRNA from 1 species